rnacentral:rRNA from 1 species
UACGUAGGGUGCGAGCGUUAAUCGGGAUUACUGGGCGUAAAGCGUGCGCAGGCGGUUUUGUAAGCCGGAUGUGAAAUCCCCGGGCUUAACCUGGGAAUGGCAUUCGGGACUGCAAGGCUGGAGUGCGGCAGAGGAGACUGGAAUUCCUGGUGUAGCAGUGAAAUGCGUAGAUAUCAGGAGGAACACCGGUGGCGGAAGGCGGCUACCUGGACCGGUUCUGACGCUGAUGCGCGAAAGCGUGGGGAGCAAACAGG